rnacentral:rRNA from 1 species
GACAGAGGAUGCAAGCGUUAUCCGGAAUGACUGGGCGUAAAGCGUCUGUAGGUGGCUUUUAAAGUCUGCCGUCAAAUCCCAGGGCUUAACCCUGGACAGGCGGUGGAAACUACCAAGCUGGAGUACGGUAGGGGCAGGGGGAAUUUCCGGUGGAGCGGUGAAAUGCGUAGAGAUCGGAAAGAACACCAACGGCGAAAGCACUCUGCUGGGCCGACACUGACACUGAGAGACGAAAGCUAGGGGAGCGAAUGGG